GGACCCGUAGCUCAGCUGGAUAGAGCGUUGCCCUCCGAAGGCAAAGGUCGUACGUUCGAAUCGUAUCGGGUCCGCCA
rnacentral:tRNA from 32 species